rnacentral:rRNA from 1 species
UGAGGAAUUUUCCGCAAUGGGCGCAAGCCUGACGGAGCAACGCCGCGUGCAGGAGGACGCUUUUCGGAGUGUAAACUGCUUUUCUGUGGGACAAGAGUGGACGGUACCACAGGAAGAAGCCCCGGCUAACUACGUGCCAGCAGCCGCGGUAAUACGUAGGGGGCGAGCGUUGUCCGGAGUUACUGGGCGUAAAGGGCAUGCAGGCGGUCGGACGCGUUUUGUGUGACAGCGGGUGGCUUAACUACCCGAGUAUGCGAAAGACGGUUUGACUUGAGGGCUCGAGAGGGACACGGAAUUCCGGGUGGAGUGGUGAAAUGCGUAGAGAUCCGGAGGAACACCGAAGGCGAAGGCAGUGUCCUGGCGAGUGACUGACGCUGAGGUGCGAAAGCUAGGGGAGCGAAC